rnacentral:rRNA from 1 species
GACGAACGCUGGCGGCGUGCUUAACACAUGCAAGUCGAACGGUAAGGCCCUUCGGGGUACACGAGUGGCGAACGGGUGAGUAACACGUGGGUGAUCUGCCCUGCACUUCGGGAUAAGCCUGGGAAACUGGGUCUAAUACCGGAUAGGACCACUGCCUGCAUGGGUGGUGGUGGAAAGCUUUUGCGGUGUGGGAUGGGCCCGCGGCCUAUCAGCUUGUUGGUGGGGUGAUGGCCGACCAAGGCGACGACGGGUAGCCGGCCUGAGAGGGUGACCGGCCGCACUGGGACUGAGAUACGGCCCAGACUCGUACGGGAGGCAGCAGUGGGGAAUAUUGCACAAUGGGCGCAAGCCUGAUGCAGCGACGCCGCGUGAGGGAUGACGGCCUUCGGGUUGUAAACCUCUUUCAGCACCGACGAAGCGCAAGUGACGGUAGGUGCAGAAGAAGGACCGGCCAACUACGUGCCAGCCGCCGCCGUAA